GAUGAACGCUGGCGGCGUGCUUAACACAUGCAAGUCGAACGGAAAGGCUCCUGCUUGCAGGGGUACUCGAGUGGCGAACGGGUGAGUAACACGUGGGUGAUCUGCCCUGCACUUCGGGAUAAGCCUGGGAAACUGGGUCUAAUACCGGAUAGGACGAUGGUUUGGAUGCCAUUGUGGAAAGUUUUUCGGUGUGGGAUGAGCUCGCGGCCUAUCAGCUUGUUGGUGGGGUAAUGGCCUACCAAGGCGUCGACGGGUAGCCGGCCUGAGAGGGUGUACGGCCACAUUGGGACUGAGAUACGGCCCAGACUCCUACGGGAGGCAGCAGUGGGGAAUAUUGCACAAUGGGCGCAAGCCUGAUGCUGCGACGCCGCGUGGGGGAUGACGGCCUUCGGGUUGUAAACUCCUUUCGCUAGGGACGAAGCGCAAGUGACGGUACCUGGAGAAGAAGCACCGGCUAACUACGUG
rnacentral:rRNA from 1 species